rnacentral:rRNA from 1 species
GAUGGGUUCUGCUACUACUCUUGGGAUGGGACCCUGCGGUGCAUUAGCUAGUUGGUAGGGUAACGGCCUACCAAGGCGAUGAUGCAUAGCCGAGUUGAGAGACUGAUCGGCCACAUUGGGACUGAGACACGGCCCAAACUCCUACGGGAGGCAGCAGUAGGGAAUCUUCCACAAUGGACGCAAGUCUGAUGGAGCAACGCCGCGUGAGUGAAGAAGGGUUUCGGCUCGUAAAGCUCUGUUGUUGGUGAAGAAGGACAGGGGUAGUAACUGACCUUUGUUUGACGGUAAUCAAUUAGAAAGUCACGGCUAACUACGUGCCAGCAGCCGCGGUAAU